UACGAAGGGGGCUAGCGUUGCUCGGAUCACUGGGCGUAAAGGGUGCGUAGGCGGGUCUUUAAGUCAGGGGUGAAAUCCUGGAGCUCAACUCCAGAACUGCCUUUGAUACUGAAGAUCUUGAGUUCGGGAGAGGUGAGUGGAACUGCGAGUGUAGAGGUGAAAAUUCGUAGAUAUUCGCAAGAACACCAGUGGCGAAGGCGGCUCACUGGCCCGAUAACUGACGCUGAGGCACGAAAGCGUG
rnacentral:rRNA from 1 species